rnacentral:rRNA from 1 species
UACGUAGGGUGCAAGCGUUGUCCCGGAAUUAUUGGGCGUAAAGAGCUCGUAGGCGGUCUGUCGCGUCUGCUGUGAAACUCAGGGCUUAACCCUGAGCUUGCAGUGGGUACGGGCAGACUAGAGUGCGGUAGGGGAGACUGGAAUUCCUGGUGUAGCGGUGAAAUGCGCAGAUAUCAGGAGGAACACCGGUGGCGAAAAGCGGCUUCCCUG